AAACAAUUUCAGCAAAAAGAUACCAGAAACUAUAAUUACCAACAUAUUUACAUACAUGUGAAAAUUUAUUUAUAAUCACAUUUACAAUGAUUAACAUAUUUACAAUAAAUUACAUACACGUAGGUAUCCAAGUGUCCAUAUCAUGGUCACUGGAUUUUGGUGCAGAGUUCAGAGAUCUCUAUGGGUUUGAGUUAAAGAGUUCAAUGCACACACUCUAAACUCUGAUAAAUUUGAGGGCUGUUAUCUAUCGACGACUCAUUAUCAAGCUUGGCACGCACAAAUUCUUCACAUUCACAAAAGCACAAAAUCUUGUACUUCCAUAAAAAUUUGCAACCCAAUAUAAAACAAUUGAAAAACUUUAAUAAAAAAUGAACCAUAAACACAAUAAAAAUUCGGUGACCAAAAACCUCUCAAAAACUGAGUUUGGAAGCAUAAACAGAAAUAGCAACUAAAUUGAAUAGCUUUAUAACAACUUCCGAAGAACAAAAUCAUCACCAAGAUUCAGUUUAAUUAGUUUUCUCACCAUAUCCUUAUAUAUGCAGUUUAUAUAAUGAGACAAUCAUCUUCCAAAACCAUUUUACAACCAAUAUAACUUUAGUGCUAAAAAAAAAUUCUUGUAUUUUCAAAAACAUCCGCAAGUCCACGAAUGUGUUAUUUAGUUCCUCCCCUAGAACUAAAGAGGUGUUUUGUAGAGACCUAAAAUAAAUGGAAUCUCCACCCAGUAAUAAAAAUAGAGAACAUCACAUACGCAACAGAAGCCGAACACAAAUCCCACAUUUCACAACCAAAUUAUCGUAUUAGUUCGAAACAUUAAAUUGUAAGAACUAAAAAUAAUAAUAACAGUACCUUAAACUGAAUCUUCAGGUAAGAACUUCCUGCUUUGCAACCUGCAACAAACGAUAGGAAUUAAAACCCACGAAUCCACAAUCAGAUAAAAACAAUUUUCCAAGAAAAACAAAACCAAAAUUGGUAUACAAAAGAGCAUUAGAUCUAUAACCUGGAAAACAAAAAGAAAACAAAAAAAGCCAUACAAAAAACCCCAAAAAAAAAAAAAAUAUUACGGACCUUAAGACAGAGAACAAACACGCAGAGAGAGAGAGAGAUGAAUGUGUAAAAUGAGAGAAAAGAAAACUAAACCAAGAUUGGUACACAAAAGAGCAUUAGAUCUAUAACCUGGAAAACAAAAAGAAAAAAAAAAGCCAUACAAAAAACCCCAAAAAAAAAAAAAAAAAAAAAUUACGGACCUUAAGACUGAGAACAAAUAUGCAGACAGAGAGAUCAAUGUGCAAAAUGAGAGAAAACAAAACUAAUAAGGCAAAUAAAUAUCUCUGAUGAUUCCCCCAAAAUCUGACGUAACACACUAAAAAAUUCGAAAAUAAUCCACAACAAAAA